rnacentral:rRNA from 1 species
UACGGGGGGGGCAAGCGUUGUUCGGAAUUACUGGGCGUAAAGGGCUCGUAGGCGGCCAACUAAGUCAUACGUGAAAUCCCUCGGCUUAACCGGGGAACUGCGUCUGAUACUGGAUGGCUUGAGAUUGGGAGAGGGAUGCGGAAUUCCAGGUGUAGCGGUGAAAUUCGUAGAUAUGGGGAGGAACACCGGUGGCGAAGGCGGCCAUCUGGACGGAUACUGACGCUGAGACGCGAAAGCGUGGGGAGCAAACAGG